AUUCGAAAGUCUCAUCAUCGAAAACAGCUUAGAAGCAUGGAGGCCUCCGUGCUCCUAAUAUCACACAAGACCUACGCUCUCUCUCUAUAUGUAUAGAGAGAGAGAGUCUGGCUACUAUACUCUUAUGAGUACGAUCGCUCUCGUACUCAUAAGUUGUUUUCGAUGAUAGAGCUUCCGAAUCGAUGAUCUGUACCGUUAAACAUUAUGUAGAAUAUUAAAACUACUAGAAAUCAAAUUUUAUAAUUUUUUAACAUCAUUUACCUUACGAUCAAAAGCUCACAAAAUUGACAAUAUUUAAUGGUCGGUAUGAGAAACUUGUUAGUUUAACGGUAUAAAAGAAUCGGAAUAGGUUGAAUUUUUGAUAGAAAAUUCUAUUCACUAUCUAGAUAAAGAUCAAUAUAUAACUCCGAUCUUAAAUUGAAGGAUUCGAUCAUUCAUUUUUAGGACGUCGUUCGAUUUUGACUAUUCAUUUUAUGCCCGCUUGAUGGAUUUUAUUAUGAUUUCGAAAAAUUAUGAAAUUUAAUUUUUAGAAGUUUCAAAUACUCUAAAUCAUAUUUAAUGGAGUGGAUUGUCGAUUCGGAAGCUCCAUCAUCGAAAACAAUUGAUGAGUAUGAAGAGCUCUAUACUCAUAAGAAUAUAGUACAUCUAAAAGUACCAACCCAUUGGUACUUUUACUAGGUUUCUAGCCUUUAGAUCUACCCCUUGACUAUUAGUAGCCCUUGGAUCAAAUGCUAUUCCACUUACCACCACUCAAUCCAAGUGGGCUACUAUCAUUCUAGCACUACAACACCUCUAUCCAAUGGCUACAAAUUUAGAAACACCAAUCCCUUGGUGCUUUUGAAGUAUUCUAGCUCAAUAUAUAUAUAGGCUAGUGCUACUAUACUCUUAUGAGUAUAUGAUCUAACGGGUGGAAAUGGUCAAAGGGGUAGAUUUAACUGCCGAAAACUUAUGAGUACAAAGAGGCCUAUAUUUGUAAGAGUAUAAUAGUCGAAAUCAUAUAUAGUAGGGUUGUUAUACUCUUAUAAGUAUAGAACUCCUUAUACUCAUAAGUUGUUUUGAAUAAUGGAGCUCCCGAAUUGAUGAUUGACACCGUUAAAUAUGAUCAAGAGUAUUUAAAAUUUUUAGAAAAUAAAUUUCAUAACUUUUCGAAAUUAUAAUAUAUUAGAACUAAAACCGAGAUGAUCUAGUUCAUCGCGAAAAUACCAAAAGAGAUCUAAGAAAGAGAGAAUAAAAAUAAAGCACACAAUAUUUACAUAGUUUGGCCACUGACCUAUAUCCACGAGCGAAGAUGGAAUGGAGAUCUUCAUUAUAAUCAGAGUGGUGUAUAAAAUAUGUCACUCUCACAAAAUUCUAAUCCCAAAAAUAAACCCAUACUCUCUCUCAUAUGCUGCACCAAAUUAAUAGAAUAAAGAAUAUAUUUGUAAUAGUGGCUAAAUACUAAUACGAUUAGGAAUACAAAUUCACUAAAAUUAGAAAUAUCUUAAUUAGAUUAGACAUAAUCUAAAUUUAACUUAAUAAAAUAAUCAAAAUAUAAUAGGAUUAGAAAACCUUGUGGUUCGAGAAUUCGAGACAUAUUUAAUAAUCUCCACUUUGGCUUGAAUUCUCUGUCUUCUCCACCAAAAUCCCAAUAGCUCCUUGAGAUGCUACUACAUGCGAACAAGUUUAUGAAAUACUUGAACUUGAUCGUCUAAAAACUUAAUGAGCAAAUCUGCGAGGUUCUUUAAAGUGCCAAUAUUUUCAUUUUCCAACCGCGCCUUUUGCAACCUCUGUUGCAUAGAGCGAAAUUGUUGGAGCGAUCAAAUUUUCCGAUCUCAAAUUUCGUCGACACCUUAAACACCCAAACGAACAAUCUGGCUCUGAUACCAAUUUGUUAUGACAAAGGCGAAAAUAUCUAAUUCAUCAUAUGCAAAAAUACUAAAAGAGAUCUGAGGAAGAGAGAAUAAAAAUAAAGCAUACAAUAUUUACGUGGUUAAACCCAUACUCUCUCUCAUAUGCUGCACCAAAUUAAUAGAAUAACGGAUAUAUUUAUAAUAGUGGCUAAAUCCUAAUACGAUUAGGAAUACAAAUUCACUAAAAUUAGAAAUAUCUUAAUUAGAUUAGACAUAAUCUAAAUUUAACUUAAUAAAAUAAUCAAAGUAUAAUAGGAUUAGAAAACCUUGUGGUUUGAGAAUUCGAGACAUAUUUAAUAGUCUCCACUUUGGCUUGAAUUCUCUGCCUUCUCCACCAAAAUCCCAAUAGCUCCUUGAGGUGCUACUACACAUGCGAACAAGUUUAUGAAAUACUUGAACUUGAUCGUCUAAAAACUUAAUGAGCAAAUCCGCGAGGUUCUUUAAAGUGCCAAUCUUCUCAUUUUCCAACUACGUCUUUUGCAACCUCUGUUGCAUAGAGCGAAAACUGUUGGAGCGAUCAAAUUUCCCGAUCUCAAAUUUCGUCGACGCCUUAAACACCCAAACGAACAAUCCGACUCUGAUACCAGUUUGUUAUGACAAAGGCGAAAAAUAUCUAAUUCAUCAGAUGCGAAAAUACCAAAAGAGAUCCGAGGAAGAGAGAAUAAAAAUAAAGCCUACGUCCACGGGCGAAGAUGAAAUGGAGAUUUUUAUUAUAAUCAAAGUGAUGUACAAAAUAUGCCUCUUUCAGAAGACCCUAAUCCCAAAAAUAUAUCCAUACUCUCUCUCAUUUGCUGCACCAAAUUAAUGAAAUAAAUGGUAUAUUUAUAAUAGUGGUUAAAUUCUAAUACAAAUUUACUAAAAUUAGGAAUAUCUUAAUUAGAUUAGACAUAAUCUAAAUUUAACUUAAAGGAAUAAUCAAAAUAGAAUAGGUGUAGAAAACCUUGCGGUUCUAGAAUUCGAGACACAUAUAAAACAAUUUAAUUAAAUUUUAUAAUUUUUUAAUAUUAUUUACCUUAUGGCCAAAAGAUCUCAAAAUUGAUAACUUUUAACGGUCGGUGUGAGAUAGUUAUUAGUUUAGCAUUGUAAAAGAAUCGAAAUUGGUUGAAUUUUUUAUAGAAAAAUUCUAUUUACUAUAUAGAUAAAAAAUCAAUAACUUCGAUCUUAAAUUAAAGGAUCCAAUCAUCUAUUUUUAGGAUAUCGUUUGAUUUAACUGUUCAUUUUGUGCCCGUUUGAUGGAUUUUAUUAUAAUUUCGAAAAAUUAUGAAAUUUAUUUUCAAGAACUAGAUCAUGUUUAAUGGUGUAGAUCGUCGAUUCGCAAGCUCCAUCAUCUCGAAGGGUUCUAUACUCAUAAGAGUAUAGUAGCUCUACUAUAUAUAUCUAGGCUACUAUACUAUUAAUAGCAUCAAGUCAUUGAUGCUAUUAGAUUUUCGGCCAUUAGAUGAAGUAAUGUGUGGUUAGAAUGAUAGUAGUCCCCUAUGGUUAAGUGUGUGUUGGUUGAAUAGUAUGAUCUAAGGUCCCGUUUGGUUUGGGGUAUAAGUGGGGAUAAAGAAAAUUAUUCUCGCUAUUCCGCCAAAUAGGAUGAUCUUUUGCCAAAAUAUUUUAUCCCAGUCAAACUUUGCUAUUCUCGGCUAUUCUGGAAUAGCUUGGGAUUUACUAUUCCACAAUUUUAGUGGAAUAGUAUUAUUCCAAUGUUUAAUUUCAAACUUUAUUAAAAUUAUAAAUUGAAUUAAAACUAAAUUAUGUAAAUAUAACAUGUUAUAUAAUAUUAUUUUUAUUAUAAAAUUAUUAGUUGUACUAUAUUAAUACAUAUUAUUUAUAUUUAAAUAUUAUAAUAAAAUAUUUUUACUAAAUUUAAGUUUAAGUAGAAUUUAAAAAAUUUAUAAAUUUAUUAAUUGUAGUAUCCUUAAUUUUUUUUAUUCUUUAAUUUUUUUGUUGUUUUUGAGUUGGUANAUGAUAUUUUAUAUUUUUCAAAUUUAAAUUUGAUCUUAAAUUUAAAGUUUGAAAUUUAAAAUUUAAAAUUUAAAAUUUUGAAUUUAAAAUUUCAGAUUUUAAAUUUAAAGUUUUAAUUUCAAAUUUUGAAAUUCAAAAAUUAAAAUUUUAUAUUUAAAAAUAUAAAUAUAAAAUUUAAAAAUUUAAAUUCAAAUAUAGUGAGAGGAGUAAUAUUAUUAUUUUUUAUUUAUAACUAUCCACUAACCUUUUUAUUUUAUCUUAUCUCUCCAAACGUUAUAUUUUUUAUUCUCGAGAACGACUUAAUUUUCUUCAAAACACAAAAUUGGUCCAAUUUUUACUUAUACAUGAACUAAUACCAAUAUCUGGAAUGGAUAGUUCUUACUUAUAUCUGAACCAAACGAUAUCUAAGGGGUGAAAAUGAUCAAAGGGAUAUAUAAAUCUAACUGUAGAGAACUUGAUAGUACUAAGUGCUUGCUGCUAUUGAUAGUAUAGUAACUAGACUCUAUACAGUAUAAAUAUAUUUUGAAUCUUUAUGUCAAUUAAGUGUCUACCGAGAGCAUCCGAAAAAAAAACGGUUGGACUGAAAUUGUUUUAGGGGGUCUAUUCAAUUUCUAACUCCAAUCACUUUUAAAAUAUUUAACAUUUAUGAUUGAAUCACUCGCGUGCCUUUAUCUUACCGAAUGAUAUUUCUAUAAAGAUCUUGAUCCUUACAAGGCAUUUACUAAAAAUGGCAUAUAUAAUAUGAUGGAGCCAAUGGCUAUAACAUCAUGCAUGUGCCUGUGCGUGGUAUCUUUUCUGUCAAAUUUUGAUAGAAAUGUAUGGAGACCAACUCAACUGUAGAGCAUUUAAAAACAAAAACAAGAGUAUCUUUUUAGAGUGGAAAGUGAAAUUUGACCUAAUAUAUAUACAUAUACAUACUAAUUAAGAGUCAACGGUAUUUUGAGAAUUAAACACGCUGAGUUCGAAGCCUUCGUAUUUCUAAAAUCAUAAUAUCUCUACCUUAGGUUAAUUAGUUAAUUGAAUAUAGCUCGAGAAGUCCAUGCUACGGUCAUGCGCGCUAUCCGUACGUUGCAAGUAUGUUGACUUUAUAUAUUAUUAGCCGCAUGAUCAAUGCUUCGCCGAACGAACUUAAUAAAUACUAGCUAGUUGCAAUUGUACGUACGGAAUGUAAAUUUGAAUAUUGGUAUGUUGAAUUGUUGAAUUCUUCGCCAAAAGUUUGAAGACCGAAAUCACAAUUUCUUUAUUAGUUCACGUUACAAGAAGUGUUUUUUUUGUUCGGUUGGUAGGUACGUGAAACGUGUAGCGAAAUUUGUGAGACUUUGAUUGACCGUUACGAACGAAAAAAACAAAAAACACAAUACAGCGGCAUAAGCAAGAGCACGUACGCCAAUUUCUAGUUGUUUCAGGACCAACAUAACUUGCAUUAUACUGAUUGUCCUUAGCGCAAGUGGCAAAAAGCUUAGUGGUUGGUACCCGAGGUUCUAAGUUCGAAUCCUAGUUGAUUCAUAUUUCCAACUAAGUUUAUUUCUAAAUGAAAUAAACGAAACGGGUAGCGUGCUACCUAUAUCUCUCUCUCAAAAAAAAAAAAAAAAAAACAUAACUUGCAUUAUUUGGAAUGUUAUUUAUGUAAUUUAAGUAGUUGCUUCAGAUAUUUAUAGCACCUACUAUUUUCUGUACUGAGAUAUUAUUUAGAGAAAAUGCUUUGCUUAUAAGCUAAUCUUCUUAAUUACGAUGUUUUACAAACUACAUAAUUCAAUAGAUGAAUUUUAAUCUUGAAAUUAUAUAUAAAUCAUGCUUACCUUCUCGUGAUUUGCACUUCUUCACUAAUUAAAUGUUGUCAUGUAUGUUAGUUUGUAAAAUAUUGUAAAAUUAGCUUGUGAGUAUAACAUAAAAUUACUCAUUGAGCGUGUUUGGUUCGUCCAUUUUUUAUCAUGAAAUCGGAAUCGGAAUGGACGAACUUGUUUGCCCGUGUUUGGUAUGCGGGAUUUUUAUUUCGAUUUCGAUUCCUGGCUGAAUGGAAAUCCCCUCGAUUAUCCUUUUUUCUAGGUGGAAUGAAUUUGUUGGAUUAAAUUUAACUUUUUUAAACUUAUUUUUUAAUUAAAAUAUAUAUUUAAAUUUAAAAAUUAUAUUUAUAAAUUUAAAUUUUAUUUUGAACUUAAAUUAAAAAUUAGAAUUCAAUCAAGCAUUUUGAAUCUAAUUUAUAAAUUUGAAUUUAAUUUAAAAUCUAAAGUUUUAUAUUCAAUUUCAAAUUUUAAUUUAUCUAAUUUACAAAUUUGAAUUUAAAUUUAAAUUUAAUUUAAAAUCUAAAAUUUUAUAUUCAAUUUCAAAUUUUAAAUUUUUUAAAAAUAUAUUUAAAAUUUUAAUGUAAAUUUUUAAUAUUUAAUUUUCAGUUUGAAUUUAAACCAAUAUAUUAUAAAGAUAAAAUUAUCAUAUUAAUUUGAUUAUGUUUUCGAUAUUUAUAUGAACCAAUUAAACACCAAUAAUGAAAAUAAUUUAUUUUAAUUUCGAUUCAGAUGACGAACCAAACAGAAUGAGCUAAUAUAUUAUUUCGAUUUUGUUCCCAGCUUAUUCUCAUUUCAAUUUCGAUACCGAUAGCAAGAGAUGUGAAUCAAUUAGGAUUCGAACUUAGAACCUCGGAUACUAACUACCAAUCCCUUUGCCACUUGCUUCAGAGACAGUCGGUUGUUAAAUAAAAUUGUUAAAAGAAUUAGAAAAACUACAUAAAGUUCAAUCCACGGUCGCUGGGCAAAACCGUUCAGUUAAAUCUAGGCCGUUAGAUCUCUCAACAUCAAAAAUAAAUGAAUCCUAGCUGGAGAAUUUAAUGCGACUAAAACGAGAGGGAAAAGUUUUUUUUUGCCCCCACUAACGGUUGAACCUACAUUUCUUAGACCUAGUCCACCACGUCAUCAUCGUUAAAACUGAAAGCGGGGCGAGGAUUUGAAAUUCGGUAGACACGGAAGCUACUUAAACCGGACCGGUAUACGGAUGACGUGGCGAACCCGGACCAGGAAAUAUUGCGCUCCAAUAACCGCGGAGCACGGGUUGGGCGCGCUCGCCAUUGGUGGGGCACGUGCCGAGGCGGGGUCGGCACGUGGCUCCCACCCUGUCGCCUCCCGCUCAUUAUCAUUGGUUGUCGAAUUGGGCCCCGCGCGGGGUGGGGCCCACACCUCACUCACUUAUUUAUUAAACACUUUAGGGAUCUCGACACCUGGGCCCGGCGAUUGUGAAUUGACGAUUUUGCCCCUGCACGGAUCCACCGUCGCGGGCCCAUGUCGCUGGGGAUCUGAUGUGGGAUCCUUAUCCGCUCGAAGGCACAUAGGCACAUCAGUACGAGGGGCAAUUCCGUCCAUCGGUUGUUUCCAUUUCAUUUUAUCCAUACACUAUCCGCAGAAGCUUUUUUUUUUUUUUUUUUUUUUUUUUUUUCCCUCCAAAUUACACCAUUGCUUACUAAUAUUUACCUUUUCUUAUUUGCCUUUUAUUUUUUUAUUUUAUUUUACUUUUUGGCUAAUAGGUUUCUAAGCUUUGUAUUUUUCUUAUUUUAGUUAGAUUUCUAUUAUUUAAAUUCAUAUUUUUGAUGAAAUAUGUUGCGUCAACUCUAAACAAACUCUAUCUCCUCAUAAAGAUCAUGCUUAUAGUCGGAUAAUCUUUUGAUCAAUUUUAGCACUGAAUUUUUUCAAGUUUCUAAAAUAGCUUGAUAGCGCGCUAGAUCUGAUUUUAAAUAUACUAGAUGCUUUAAAAAAUAUAGCAGGCAUUGUGUGUGCAUAGUUGACAUGAUCAUAGGUGCAAAGAACUCUUGAAGAUGGCUGGGAGUAGAUGUGCGUGGAAGAAGUGAUAAAAUAGGUAAAAGGUUACGGACCAAUGUGCAAUUAAUUUUAAAGGUUAAGCAGGUGUUUGUAUUGAUAAUAAGUGAUGGAAUAAAUUAUUUGAUAAUAAAAAAUAAAUAAAUAUACUAAGUUAUUUUAACAACUAGUUAAUUAAUUAAUUAUUUUUAUAAUUUUUUUGUAAUUAAUUACUCCAUAGUUAAAAAUUAAUUAACUUACUAAGUGAUCAUUUAAUUGAUAUUCUGAUAUUUAUUAACUAGAUAAAUUUUUUUUAAAAAAAUUUGUAGUGACACAUAAAUUCCUACUAUUCCCGUCUAAUGAUUCAAACAUUGGUUUUUUUUUUAAUUCUUGAAAAUAACUAAAUUCUUAACUAAAUUCCUACUUAUUCCAAAAGUUAUACUUGUUUCGAAAAUAAGCAACAACAGGUUAGUCCUAAACCAAAUAAUAUCUAAGGAUUUGAGUACAAAAAGAAAAAUAUGAGAAGAAAAAAGAAAAAUCAAGUAAAAAGUAGGGAAUAACGGUAUAAUUAAUCCUAAGGGGUGUUGGAAGCGUGAUUUUCUUUGAUACUAAUUGUUGGAAUUGACAUUUAUGCUAAAAUUGAUUAUGUAGUCUAGAAUUUAAAAUAAAACAAAAUAGGCCAAUUUGCAUAAAAAAUCCACAAAGUAUUGGGCUUUUGCAAAACUGGGCCGCCUUUUUCAAUUUUAUAGAUUCGGUUCGAAUUUUUAACAAACUAACCAAAAUACCCUUAUACCUUUCUCUCUCUCUCUCUCUUUUUUUUUUUUUUUUUUUUUUUUUUUUUUCUUUCCUUUUUUUUUCCCCGUCGAAGAAGUCGGCGGGCGAAGGCCGAGGCGGAAACGGGCCCCCCCACCACUGCCCUUCACGCCUUUGCCCUCGCAGCGCAUGCCCCGCCCUCCUCGCCUCCGACCCCGCCGAGGCCGCGCUGCUAUCCUCCUUUUCUUUUCCUAUCCGAUCCUCCUCUACUCGCCGUCCCCACCGCCACCGUCGGCGACAAAGAGGAAGUGCUUCUCGGGGCCUAGAAGCACGUCGGCAAGGAAGGGGGAGAAAAAUAGUUACACUUUGUCGAGGGCGAUGGUUCCGAUAGAGGGCAAGGGAGAGGUCAUGAUAAAAAAAAUAUAUAUAGAAAGAAAAAAAUAAGAAUAAUAAAAAACAAAAAUAAACGAUAUAUUUUUUUACAGGAAAGACAAAAAAUUAUAGAAGAAAUAAGAAGAAAAUAAAAUUGCACUAUUAAAAUAAAGUUAUAUUAUUUUAGAAAUUUUUUUUUAUUAUUUUAGAUGAAAGUUGCACUCUUUGAGACAGAAAUUACACUCUUUGGGAUGAGAGUUAUACUCUUUAGGCAAAAUUUGCAUUACUUGGGUGAAAUUUACACCAUUUCUUAUUCUCUUUUCCUUUAUCCUCUUUCUUCCCCUUCGUUUUCUCAUUCUCCUCCUCAUUCUUCUUCCUCCACUUUCUCCGGCGCCGUCGCUGUCAAGCGCCCCUCAGGCCGCCGCCUCCCUUCUUUGUUGGUACCUGCACACAACGAGGUCGAGAAUGAGAUUGACAUCCUUUCCUCCCUCCGUAGCCCCCGCCUCGUCAACUUCUUCGGCUNAAGUCGGCGGGCGAAGGCCGAGGCGGAAACGGGCCCCCCCACCACUGCCCUUCACGCCUUUGCCCUCGCCGCGCAUGCCCCGCCCUCCUCGCCUCCGACCCCGCCAAGGCCGCGCCGCUAUCCUCCUUUUCUUUUCCUAUCCGACCUCCUCUACCCGCCGUCCCCACCACCACCGUCGGCGACAAAGAGGAAGUGCUUCUUAGGGCCUAGAAGCACGUCGGCAAGGAAGGGGGAGAAAAAUAGUUACACUUUAUCGAGGGCGAUGGUUCCGAUAGAAGGCAAGGGAGAGGUCAUGAUAAAAAAAAAAUAUAAAAAGAAAAAAAUAAGAAUAAUAAAAAACAAAAAUAAAAGAUAUAUUUUUCUACAGGAAAGACAAAAAAUUAUAGAAGAAGUAACAAGAAAAUAAAAUUGCACUGUUAAAAUAAAGUUAUAUUAUUUUAGAAAAUUUUUUUUAUUGUUUUAGAUGAAAGUUGCACUCUUUGAGACAGAAAUUAUACUCUUUGGGAUGGAGUUACACUCUUUAGGCAAAAUUUGCACUAUUUGGGUGAAAUUUACACCAUUUCUUAUUCUCUUUUCCUUUAUCCUCCUUCUUCCCCUUCGUUUUCUCAUCCUCCUCCUCAUUCUUCUUCCUCCUCCACCUUCUCCGGCGCCGUCGCUGUCAAGAGCCCCUCAGGCCGCCGCCUCCGUUCUUUGUUGGUACCUGCACACAACGAGGUCGAGAAUGAGAUUGACAUCCUUUCCUCCCUCCGCGGCCCCCGCCUCGUCAACUUCCUCGGCUUUUGCUGCGAGCCCUGAGAGGCGGUGCCACGCGACGAGAUUUGCGUUGACGUCGACGUCGGCGGUGCCGAUGGUGUUCUUCGGUGGGAAGCUUCUGGGAGGGGUGGAGAUGGUGAUGUUGUGCCACAUCAAAGGUUCCCUUGUCCCCCUCCUCAAACAAGCCGGGGCUCGCGCGCAGGCGCCGGCGAAGAAGGAGGGCGGCGGUACGAGGGGCGCUUGAUAAUGAUAGCGGCGGAGAAUAUGGAGGAGGAAGAAGGAGGAGGAAGGCGAGGAAGCAGAGGGAAAGGAGGAGAAGGAAGAAAAAGAGAAUGAGAAAUGGUAUACAUUCUACCAUCGCCUAAAAAGUGUAGCUUUCAUUCCAAAUAGUAUAAUUUCUGUCUCAAAAAGUAAAAUUUUCAUCUAAAACGAUGCAAUUUUUUUGAAAUAGUAUAACUUUAUUUUAACAGUGCAAUUUCAUCUUUUUCUUCCUUCUUCUAUGAUUUUUUAUUUUUCCUAUAUGAUUUUUUUUAUUUUUAUUAUUUAUUAUUUUUAUUUUUUUUCUCUCUAUAAUUUUUUUGGUCACGACCUUUCCCUUUCCCUCUAUCCCAGCCACUGCCCUCGCCGGAGUGUAACUAUUUUUCUCCCCCUCUCUCGUCGUUCGGCCUCGAGAAGCACUUUCUCUUCAUCGCUGGCAGCGGCGGUAGGGACGGCGGGUGGAGGAGGGACGGAGAGGAAAUAAAAAAGGGGCUGGGUCGGAGGCGAUCGAGGAGGGCGGGGGCUGCUCAGGCGAGAGCAAGGGCAUGAGGGGUAGAUGCGAGCAGGGCCGUUUCCGUCUCCGCCACCUUCUUCGGCGAGAAAAAAAAAGAUGGGACCCAGCAUGUCACGCGGGGAGCAUCGGUGUAACUUGUAAAGAAGAAGGAUGGAUAACUUCGUCUAUAUGUGGAUUAUAGAGAACUGAACAAAGUGACCAUAAAAAACAAACAUCCUUUGCUAGUGGGGGAUCUAAUUUUUUUUAGGGGUCAAAUAAAAAAUUAAAAAUAACUAUAAAAAACAUACAAAAAUUAUUAAAUAUAAUUGUUAAGAAAUAUUGAGUAAAAAGGAAACAUGUAUCAUUUUGAAUUACAGUUAUUUUGGACGUAUUUUUAUAUUUUAGAAAUGAUACAUGAUGGCAUCAUUAGAUAGGAUUAUUUUUUCACUCAAACCACUAUUGUUUGAAAUAAGUGUAAAAUAUUUUAUAUUUUAAUAGGUGCAUAUUUUUAUUUGAAUUCAAGUUUAUAAUAUUGAAAAAGAUACCAUAUAGAAGCAAAAGACGGUCUUUACUUAUUAAAACAAAAUGGAGUCAAUUGGUCAAUAAAAUAAAUUUAAUUAUAAAAUGGACCCUGCUUGUAGAGAUGUUGAGAUAUUUUGGGGGAAUAAGUGGGGUCAAUUGACCCCACUCCCCUUAAGCUAGAUCCGCCAAUGUCCUUUGCCACAUAUCGACGAUCUCUUGGAUCAGUUGUCAGGAUCUUGUAUUUUUCUCUAAGAUUAACUUGUAAUUAGGAUAUCACCAAUUGAGGAUAGAGUUUGAGGAUGUUCCCAAGACGGCAUUUAGGAUAGGGUAUGGACAUUACGAGUUCACUAUGAUACCAUUUGGAUUAACAAAUGCCCCAGCCGCAUUUAUGGAUAUGAGGAACAUAGUACUCAAGUCGUUCUUGGACUAGUUCAUUCUGGUAUUCAUUGAUGAGAUUCUAAUAUACUUCCAGGUGAUGUUGAGCAUGAAGAACACUUGAGGUUUGUAUUAUAGAUUUUGCAAGAGAAGAAAGCAUUUGCCAAUUAGCUAAAGAAAUGUGAAUUUUGUCUUCCAAAGUCGCAUUUUUUGGCCACGUAAUUUCGGCGACUAGUGUCACGGUAGAUCCGAAAAAGAUUGACACUAUUUGGGAUUUGUCCAGACUAACAACUGUUACAGGGUUACAGAGUUCUCUUGGACUUGCAUCGGUUUAUGAAAGGCUUUGCAAAGCUUUCCAUGCCUCUCACUCGAUUGACUCGUAAAAAAAUUAUGUAUAUUUGGAGAGAGGAGUGCUAGAGGAGUUUUGAGGAGUUGAAGACUAGAUUGAUGACGGCUCUGGUCGUUGCUUUUCCAGUGAUGGGAAAAUGAUUUAAGAUUUAUAGUGAUGCAUCACACAAUAAUUUGGGGUGUGUGUUGAUGGAGCAUGGUAGGAUAAUUGUUUAUACUUUAUGACAAUUAAAAAAAUAUAAGAAGAAUUACCCUACGUAUGAUUUGCAGCUUGUUGCUAUGAUGUUUGCAUUGAAACUAUGGCAUUAUGGAUAGCAUCAUGAAAUCUACACUGAUCAUUAAGGUUUCAAGUACUUGCUUACAUAGAAAAAGCUAAACUUGAAAUAGUGCCGUUGGUUUGAAUUAUUGAAGUAUUCUGAUGUGACUAUCUUAUAUCAUCCUAGAAAGGUUGAUGUGGUGGCUGGUGUAUUAAAUAGAAAAUCAGCAUUACAAGUAUGAUAAAUUAACUUCAACACUAGCUAUAAGAAUAGGGAGGGUGCGGAUACUUACAAACUAAUUAAUAGCUAAUGUAUUCAAGAACCGGAUCGGAUUGCUUGUUUUACAAGCUUUCUUGCAUCGUCCUUACUUUUGAUGCUUUUGGAUCUUCUAUGAGCCUCGUCUCCUCCCACACAUCGCGUCUUGACUGUGAGGAGUUCUAUAAGAUUUCUCUUGUCCACACUCCAAAAACUGUUAAAGUAGGUGGUGUUAGUGGAGAAAUAGAAAAAUUGACUAAGGGAGAAAUAUAGAGGAAAGUUCUAUACAUUUUUUUUCCUCUUUUCAUUUUAAAAAUAUGAAUCAACCUUGCCAAAUAAAUCGGAAGGAUAUAACAACGGAGGGAAGGUUUAAAUUCAAAUAUAUUUAAAUUCAACCUUAUUUAUUCUUUACUUGGCUUAAUCAUACCUAAACCCUAUUCAGUUGAUCUUGAAGUGGACAAACCAUAUCAGGUACAUCACAUGGCAUCGCUACUUGUACACCCAAAAAAUGGGUGAAAAUCUGAUAUAUAUCCUAUCAAUUUAAGGGUUAAUAUUUUUUUCAUUAGCCUUAUAAUAUUAAAAAUUUAAAAGGAGAUCCCAAUAUUCUUUGAUGGAUGAUUGUAAGAUUUGGACCCUUAGUUUUGGUAUACAAGUAGCAUUUUUCAUUGGAGAAUUCAAAUUGGACUAUUGGUUUUAGUGCCGAAAGAAGCUCCAAAUUCUACAAUAGAUCUUUUGGUAAUAAGAGAAGCUCCAAAUGUUAUUUUAGACCGAAAACUUUAUUAUGGAGUUGGGCUUGCUAUUAACUUUGUAGCCAUUGGAAUCAAUAGUAUCACCGCCAAAUAAUAAUCUCACUAUAAAAAGAAUAGUGUAUAACAACACUUUUAAAUAUCAGUACAGUUCAAAAAAAUGCUGCGGGCUAAAUUACCGAUACUUCUUAAAAGUGUUGCUAUAUGUGGGGUCGCUAUAUGUGGAGCGGUUUUGAUGUUUGGCACCCACUCUUCUAGCGACCUAGGGCGGAGGGUAACGUAGCGAUCGUAGCUCUCUACGGUCCCUAUGAGAUCCUCGCGACCGAACUCCAGUCGCCGAAACCCUACCUCGUCAGCUGUGGCGGCGGAGAAGGAGAAGGGGAGAGGUGAUCACUUUUUCUUUUUUUCUUUUUUUCUUUUUUUUCCUUUCCUAUUUGUAAUUGGACCGAGUUGGCUGAGUGAGGUUGGCUGAGUAGAGGAACUUUUUAUUUUUUAUUGAAUUGGGCUUUAUAUUUAGGCCUUAGUAAUUUUUCUUAAAAAUUUUUGACAUAAAUGGGACACUUACACAAAAGUUUUUCAAAAAUAUGUCCUUAUAAUCUAAUUUUGUUGUAGUGUCUAGGCAUCUAAAUAUUCAAUAGCUAAAAAGUUAAUAACAAGUGGAUAAUGUAUACUGCGAAAUAUUCUAACUCAUUUCCUCUGCUAUGGUAUUGAAGAAGUGGCCAAACAUGCUUUCGCAACCAUAGUUUUUGACCGAACUUUUAUUGGAACCAAAGCUGCCAAAGAUCUAGAAACUGUUCAGCUGCCCACAAAAUCAGAAACCUGCUUUUAGGUAAGGAAAACUGCAAGUACCGAAUUAGUGUGUAUUAAUCAUGACAACGUGGGUUUUAUAUGGUCUACGAAAAACUCUUUACUGUAAUGAUGAGAAAAAGAACUUUACAAGGCUUAUUGGCAUGUCAGAAUAAAAUUAUCUGAUCAUAACUUGUACAUUAACUUGUGGCUCCAAAAUAAUUAAGAGUUUGAUUUUAGCUCCUUUCAGAGCUUUGAUUAUUAUAUUUUUUAGAAUAGUGCAUUUCACUUACGUACAAAAUAAUUUAUCUUAUUAUCAUAAACUGAUUAGGAGAUUGAAUAUAGUAUUCCUUUCUUGACAUUAGACAAUAUUUCUUAUCUAGCUAUCAAAUAUUAGAAGCUUGUUGAAGAGAUAAAAGAAAUGUAUAGAACAAAAUAGGUCCAUAGUGCACAAGUUAUCAAUCGAUAAUAUAUUUUGACAUCGAAUAGAAAUUAAAGUACUGUUUGGUUGCAGGAAUAAGCUAUUCUUGGUCAUUCUUGGUAUAGAUAUAACUUCUGGAAUAAGCAGGAUUAUAUCAAUUUUGCAUUUGAAUGAAAAUUAGGUUAUUUCUGGAAAUAAGAAAAAUAGUGUUUGGAUAGUUAGAUAUGGAUAGAAGAAAUAAGACUACUUAUAGUUUUCAAAUAAUAAUAUUUUAUCUUAUUAAUUAACGUCAAAUAUUAAUUAAGUAAUUAAUUUAAUAAAUUAAUUAAUUACUUACUAAUGAAUACUUUUAGAUAACCAUAAAUAUUAAUUAAUAAAUUAAUUUGUACAUUAAUUAACCAUUAAUAAAUUAAUCAUGAGUGCUUUUAAUUAAUAAAGUAGCUAAUCAUAAAUAGUUUGAUAAUUUAUUAAUUUAAUAAAUUAAGUUAAUAAAUUAAUUUAAUAAAUUAAUUAUUAAAUUAUUUAAUUUGCUAGAUUAAUGAAAAUAUUAAUUGGUUAAUCAAUAUAAAUAUUAGUUAUUGCGUAAACACACUAAAUAAUUAUUUUUUUUAAUUAUCUAAUUCAUUAUAAAUAAUAAAUUAAUUACUCAAAUAGUUAAUUAAAUAUUUAUUUGAGUAAUAAAUCUAGUGGUUAAUCAUUUAUCUGAUUAAUUAGUAAAUAAAUUAAUAGAUAAUAUAUUGAUUAGUAAUACUUUAUUAUUAAUUAGUAUAUUUAUAAAGAGAGGAACUGUUGUUCCACACUUUGUACUCUGCUUGAGAAGAUUUGGACCUCUCUCUCUCUCUCUCUCUCAAGCUAAUUAAUGGAAAACUUAGGUUAUACUUGAGCGGAUUUUGAUCUUUUAAGGCAGUGUUUGGUUCGGCAACAAGGGGAGGAAUAAGGAGAAUAAAGAUCUUAUUCCACUCCUUGUUCCCCAAAAAAAAUAUUCUAGUUUUCCUCUUAAUGAGUUAUACGGCAAAUCGAACAAUGAAACCAGCGUAAUUAGGGCGGCUUGGUUUGGUAAUGUGGCUAAAAGCAAUAUUUUUAAACUAUAGAAGACCCAAAAAAUAUAAAAAAUGCUUACAACCUAAUUAAGGCGGCUUGGCUUGGUUCGGUGACAUGCUUUUCUGUUGGUAGUUCCAAUCGCAGUUUUAUAGUCUAAAAGAAGAGAAGAUUGAAACUGCUUCCGAAUAUUUUUUUGAUCUUUUUUAGUAUAAAAAUAGUAUUUUUAGUUACCAUAACACCAAAUUAGGCCUAAUUUCUGAAAGUCAAAUUUUAUAAUUGUUUUUAAGGAUACUUAUCUUAUGAUGGAAUGGUCUUAGAAACUGCUUGGGCCUAUUAAUUAAGGUCGGUCUAAUCCAUAUUAAUUAAGUAAAAACCAUUAAAAAACAAACCAAUGUGCUUUUCCUGGAGAGUGUGAAAUGAUCACUAUCAUUUCAAUAAAGAAAUAAGAUCACUAUCAAUUUAAGUUAAAGGAAUAAAGAAUCUUUAUUCUUUAUACUAGAUUGAAACCACUGUGUUACAUAGUUUAUACUCGAUUGAGAACCCAACAAGAGCAAAAGACACAAAGCAUUACCACAGUUUAAAUCUUUACCUUAAUAUACUAUUUCUUUAAUUAGGCCAGGAGUCUUUUGAACAAAUGUAUGGGCAAUAUAAUGUAAGUGACCACAGUGGCCUUAUCUUUCAUUAGGUAAUAGCUAUUAAUUAUAAGGGAUUAGAAACCUUUAGAACCAAUAAUUUGAAAGAAAUAAUUAAAAUAUGUGCGGAAACUAUUUCAUAAUGAACUUUAGGUCGAGUAGCUCACAGAAACACAAAAGGCUGCAAGAAUAGAUAGGUAUGGUUAUCCAUGUAAGCUCCCUCGUUUUACUAGAGAACUAUUACUUAUAGUGUCAAUUACUAUUAGCAACUUCUUGGGUCUCAAAACUACUGGUCGUCAAAGAUCUUUAGUUCAACUUAUCAUUACCAACGCAUCAUUCCAUACAGAACAAAGUAUAAUUAUCCGUCAAAGAUCUUUAGUUCAACCUAUCAUUAGCAACGCAUCAUUCCUUACAGACAAAGUAUAAUUAUCUCAAUAUUAUCCAAUGUGUUGGUCUAGAUCACUGGCUCAAAGUAGUUGGUUCAAGUUAUAUAUCAAUACUAGCAGUUAUUUCCAUGGUUUUAUAUAGUUGGUAGGUAGCUUGGUAUAUAUAAUUAGGGGUGGAAAUGAGCCAAGCUUGAUUGAGCCUGCUUUUGUUCAAACUUUUAAUUUCGGCCGGCUUGAAAUUUUGAUCGAGUUCGAAUUCAAAUUCAUUCGAUCGAGCCAAGCUUUCAAGCUUAAUGUUAUGGACUAAGCAAUUUUGCUCGCAAAGCUCAUGUGGCACCUGCCUUCCUGCUCAAAGAUGGGCAAGCCUAAUUAACUCUCUAUUAUUAGUCUGGACCUUCACGCCCUACAACUAAGUAUGCAAAAAGAAAAGAAUAGACAGUAGCAGAGGUUCCUAAAAAACUAAGUGCUCUAUCUACUACUUAGAAAAAUAGGACUACAAUACACAACUUCUCUUAUCUCCUCAUUGGCCUUAGCCAACCUUGUAUUUAUAGACACAAAAUACAUUAAACCUAGUCUAUAAUAAUUCACUCACUAAACAUCUAUUAACUCAUUCACUAUGAAUGCAAGGUGAUCCUAAGAAUUGCCUAUGUCUCUUGGAUUUUCACUGGCAGUUAUGUAUGUAUUGAUUGCAGCAGUUACAUAACCUUUCAUCUCCCAUAAAAGGCUGCUGGUUUGGUGCCCGUUUGGUUACUCACUUAGUGAAGUAUGGGUAGGAACUUCGCCGGACUAAAAAAUCGCUAAGUCCCUGACAAUGAGCUCUAAAUGAAUGGCUUGACAAGUUCUACGCUCAUUCAACUUAUAAUCUACAGAUCUAUGCACAAUGUUUUGAAGAUGAUGUUUUACUCCACAAAAGAUAUAUUUGGAGUUUCAAAAUAAUGAACCUUUGCAAUCGUUUAUCAAACUAUCUAUUUUUGAACCAAAAAAAGGAAAGUUUGAAGCCUACGGCCAAUGGAACCCUAUACAAGUUCAUAAAUCUCGAUGUUCAUUUAAGCCUAUUGCCAAUGGUAGUCCUUUUUAUAUUUUGGUGCAAUUGAUCAAUAUAGUAAAAAUUAAAUUGUUCAAUCAUUUAAAACUAAAGAUUUUUAAGAUAAAUGACGCAAUUUAAUAUAUUAAAUAAACAUUAUUCACAACUCCUUGGCUAAAUCUAUAUUUUCAAACCAGGCACGCAAUAUUAAUUUUUAUGUUGUAAUUCGGGGCACAUUCGAGCCGAGCUUUAUCAACCUAAGUAACAUUAAUUCUGCAGGUUUGGGAAUUAUUUUCGAGCCUAAAUUUAUAUUCAAAUAUAUGCCGGACUUGAAAAGCUUUGUUUUAUUGCCAUCCCUAGUUUUGGUUCCAUAUACCGCAAAAUUAUAAUCCAAGCAAUAAUUAGGAUUAGUAGUCCAACUCUAAUUAACUAGCUUAAAAUAUUUUGAAGUCAAAGUUAUCAAUGGAGUUUGUUUCUUACUACUUUUAUCCAGCAUAUAUAUACAUAUAUAUAUAUAUAGAGAGAGAGAGUUAGGCUACUAUAUUAUCUAUAGUACCGAGCUCCGGUACUAUAGUGUUGGUUUUCGAUCUUAGGGCGUUCAAAUCAAUGAUCCACACCGUUAAAACUGAUCUAGAGUAUUUAAAGUUUCUAAAAAUAAAAUUUUAUAUUUUUUCGACAUAGUUUACUUUAUGAUCAAACUAUUUCAAAAUUGUCAAUUUUCAAUGGCUAUUAUGACAAGUUUGGAGUUUAACGGUGUAGAAGAAUCUAAAUUUCUUCAAAUUUUGAUAGAAAAUACUUUAAACUAUAUAGAUUAAGGUUAACAUUCUUGAUCUUGAAUUUAAAAGUCCUAUGCUCAAAUUUUAAAGAUUAUUCAAUUUCCACCGUCCAUUUUGAUAUAAUUUAUUUACUAAGUAAACGAUAUCGAAAAAAACUAAAAUUUUAUUCCUAAGAAAUUCAUAUACCCUAGAUCAUAUUUAACGGUGUGGAUCGUUGAUUUGAACGCCCUAAGAUCGAAAACAAACACUAUAGUACCGGAGCUCGGUACUAUAGAUAGUAUAGUAGCCUAACUCAUAUAUAUAUCUAUAUAUAUAUAUAUAUAUAUAUAUAUAUAUAUAUAUAUAGAAUUAGGCUACUAUACUAUCUAUAGUACCGAGCUCCGGUACUAUAGUGUUUGUUUUCGAUCUUAGGGCGUUCAAAUCAACGAUCCACACCGUUAAAACUGAUCUAGGGUAUUUAAAGUUUCUAGAAAUAAAAUUUUAUAUUUUUUCGACAUAGUUUACUUUAUGAUCAAACUAUUUCAAAAUUGUCAAUUUUCAAUGGCUAUUAUGACGAGUUUGGAGUUUAACGGUGUAGAAGAAUCUAAAUUUCUUCAAAUUUUGAUAGAAAAUACUUUAAACUAUAUAGAUUAAGGUUAACAUUUUUUAUCUUGAAUUUAAAAGUCCUAUACUCAAAUUUUAAAGAUUAUUCAAUUUUCACCGUCCAUUUUGAUAUAAUUUAUUUACUAAGUAAACGAUAUCGAAAAAAACUAAAAUUUUAUUUCUAAGACAUUCAUAUACCCUAGAUCAUAUUUAACGGUGUGGAUCGUUGAUUUGAACGCCCUAAGAUCGAAAACAAACACUAUAGUACCGGAGCUCUAUACUAUAGAUAGUAUAGCAGUCUAAUUCUAUACACACACACACUUUUGGAAGAUACAUACCAAACCUGGGCACUCAAAACCCUUAUCUUGAUCGAUCAUCGAUCCCAAUUAUUUAUCCGAAGUACUCAUUUGACAUGGUGCUACAGUAGGAGUACUGUACCAUCACGACCUUUUGGAGUUAGGUAAACCCUAAUAUGUUCAAAAUGUGAUCCACUGCUUCUGCAAAGUACAAUGAAUUCAAAGUACGUAGUGAUGUGUUUGCGUAGCUACUUGCCUGAUCUAUUAAUAAUAAUAAUAAAAAAGGUACACAAACAAUAAUGGAGUUGAGUGGAGCAAGUGCUCCUCUUCCAACUGCUACUUCAGUAGCUCACACUGAUAUUGCUUUUGACUCCCUGAGGGCAUGCAGUAGACAACUGAUCAAGACAGUACAACAGAAUUAGAUUAUAGAAACACAUAUUUUGAAACACUUUUGUGUAAGUAUCUCAUUUAUACCAAAACUUAAAAAUAAAUUUACUAAUGUCUAAAUAUAAAGUCCAAUCCAACCAAAAAUAAAAUAUUACUCUACUCAACCCACCCCACCCAGCCCAUUUGGUCCGAUUACAAACAGAAAAGAAAAAAACAAAAAGAAAAAUCGAUUACCAUCUCCCCUUCUCUUCUCACUCAAUCCAUUGAAAUCCUAAACGAAUAUUCCUUCCUUUCGUCCUCCUCCGCCACCGCAGCCAACGAUGUAGAGUUCCGGCAAUUGCUAAAUGCUUAAAUAAAUAUUGGUAAAUUAGCAGUAUUCUUUUAGGUUAUAGCGACACUCUUUAACUGUCACUAUAUACCUAGCGACCCCAUGCACAUAUAGCAAUACUUUUCAAAAGUGUCGGUAAUUUAGCCAGCAGCAUUUUUUUUGACCUAUACCGACAUUUAAAAAUAUCGUUAUAGACCGUUUUUGUUGUAGUGAGAUUGUAAAAGGUCACACAAUUAAUCAACAAAAUGUGUAAACCAUAUAAAGGUGGAUAUAUCCUUUAGAAGUUCAUUAUAAUUAAUUAAUAUUCUACUUUGGCAUACAAAUAGAUUUUAUAGUUCACAUGCAUUUUUCUUCCUUUUUUUUUUUUUUUUUAAUAACCCCACUAAUCUAUUUCCUAGAGUUCAAUCCAAAGUCUCAAGCAUGGAGAGGCACAAAGGCCUGCAUGCAAGAAACAUUAAGAAAGAUGUAUUAGCACCUAACAGAUAAUAGAAAACAUAUAAUGUUAAACAAAUUAAGUUGACUGGAAAAAAGGGAUUAGUGUAUUUAACAAUUUAAAUUAACACAAAUAAUUGGGAAGAUCAAUUCUUUCAUGGGAAUGUGACAGUUUAAUUACGCCCUCAUUGGAAUUUUUUACUUCAAUAUUUUUAUUAUUGUAGAAAAAGAAAAUUCAUAGGAAAGGUUAUACUGAACAAGUAGAUAAUGGAUUAUUGGCAAUCCUUGCAUAUGAAGCGUCCGUUUCACAAUAAAAAUAUAAAAACUUAGAGAGAACUUUUUUCUUUGCUUCUUUAUUUUUUUAAUUUUAUUAUUAUUAUUCUUAUUUUCUGGAGGAGUUGUCAUCUCUCAUCUAGCUGGAGAGUAUUGUAUGUUAACUGUUAACAAGAACACAAUAUUCACCUAUGGAUAUAUCUAACUGUAUAAAAUUUAUGUCUGAGAAAAUAAAAAAAUGACAAUGUUAUCAAAUUUUACUACGGAUAUAUCCCAGCAUGGUUUACUUCCCAUAGAAUUUGAAAAAAAUAUUUCGGAGUUUAAGUGAUGAAAGUCGUGUAUGGGCUAACAAUUGCCCAGCCUAAAAUGUGUAGUUUUUAUAAGGAUAUAUAUAUAUAUAUAUAUAUAUAUAUAGAGAGAGAGAGAGUUUAGCUGGGAUACUUUUACAAGUAUCAGCUAGUUGAUACUCCCACUUUUUCUACCGCACGAUCGCAUCAAGAUUAGUGCGAGAAGAAGCGGGACUUAACGGGGCAUUUAUUCGAACGGACGUCAACUCCUCUGUUGUCUACCCCAUCCAAAAAGAAAAGAAGAUAGCAACAGAGUCUUUUGAUCCCUCUUCAUGAACAGGAGAAAACCCUCUUCUCAGGUAGGUCCUUCUCUCGCUCGCUCUCUUUGUCUUAUUCGCUCACUCAUUGUCUCGCUCUCGCCGACUCUUAUUGUCUCAUUCGCUCACUCGCUUUCUUUCUCUUGCUCACUCUCUUUCUCUCACUCAUUUUCUAGCUUGUUCACUCUCUGGAAUGUGUAUGCCACUUUAUGAUUUCCAACCAUGCCUUGAUCUCUUGCUCUCUAGCAUGCACAUGAGACCUUAGGGUUUCCAUCAGUGCCCUAUUUAUAUCUAGGGUUUCAUUGCAAUAAGAUUUUGUGAUUUGAUUGAAAUUAUCUUUCAAACGUUCAUUUGCACAUUUUGUAUUUUUUUGGGUAUGCAUUUUAUAUUUCUUAGGGUAAAAGCUUAUUUGGGUAGAAAUAUUUGCACAUUUUAUAUUUCUUUGGGUAGNCUCUCUAUAUAUAUAUAUAUAUAUAUAUAUAUAUAUAUAUAUAUAUAGUCCGACUGGGAUGCUAUCAAUAGUACCAUGCAUUUGGUGCUAUCAAGUUUUCCGCCGUUAGAUUUAACUCUUUAACUAUUUUCACCCGUUAGAUUAUACUAUUAAACCAACAACUCACUCAAUCUUAGAGGGUCUACAUCAUCAUAACCGUACAUUUUUUAAUUCAAGGGCCGUAAACCUAAUAGCACAAAAUGUAGCACAAAAUGUUUGGUGCUAUUGAUAGUAUUCCAGCCUAGGUCUAUAUAUAUAUAUAAGGUAAAUACAUUUAUAGGAAUUACACUGAGUAUGUUACUAAUUCUACUAUUUUUUUUUUUUUUUUGAGAGAUAGGUAGCACGCUACCCGCUUCUUUUAUUUCAUUUAGAAAUAAACUUAGCUGGAAAUGUGAAUCAAUUAUGAUUCGAAUUUGGGUCUCGAGUACCAACCGCCAAGCCUUUUGUCACUUGCUCUAGGGACGGUCGGUAAUAAUUCUACUGAUUUAAAUUGGUAAAUGUGAGGUUAUUAGCAAUUAACUAUUUAAUAACGACAUAAAUGUAAAUAAACAGCUAAUUGUAUAGACAUAUUAAGUGAUUAGAAUUAGAACGCUACAUAAAUAAAAGAAAUAUUAAAAAGAUAUCUACUUGAUUUCUUUUAUAAUUAUCACAUGCAAGCGGAAAAAAAUUCAGAUAAUAUAAUAAGACUAAAUUUGUACAAAAAAUUAGAGACAAAAUAAUCAAAAUAAUUAGAUUAAAGUUGGUCAGAAAAAUAAUAGAAGAAAGAGACUCGAGGGAAAGGUAAAGAAGCAUAUUAGCAAAUAGAUUAUUUUGUAAAGCUAAUGUGUGAAAGAAGAACCUUUCACAACAAAAGGUGUUAAAUAAUUAGAUAUUAGUUGAUUGAUAAUGUGAUGAAUAAACUAAUAGAAUUAAGGGCUCGUUAAUUAGGUUCACAGUUUAUAAUAUUUCAAUAAUUCUUUAUAUUUUUUAUUAAAAAUAUUCAAAUUAUUAUCAUUCAACUUCAGUUGGGUAGUUGUAAAAGCUGCUAGUGAAGUAGUGCAAUUAUUGUAGAUUUAUAGGUAAUAGAAAUACGAGUCCGACUACUAUACUCUUAUGAGGACGAUCAACCUUAUACUCAUAAGUCGUUUUCGAUGAUAGAGCUUCCGAAUUGACAAUCCAUUCCGUUAAACAUUAUCUAGAGCAUUUAAAACUUCUAGAAAUCAAAUUUUAUAAUUUUUUGACAUCAUUUACCUUACAAUCAAAAGGUCACAAAAUUGAUAAUUUUUAAUGGCCGGUAUGAGAUACUUGGUAGUUUAACGGUGUAAAAGAAUCAGAAUCGGUUGAAUUUUUGAUAGAAAAUUCUAUUCACUACCUAGAUAAAGAUCAAUAACUCCGAUCUUAAAUUAAAGGAUCCGAUCAUCCAUUUUUAGGACGUCGUUCGAUUUCGACUGUUUAUUUUAUACCCAUGUGAUGGACUUUAUUAUGAUUUCGAAAAAUUACGAAAUUUAUUUUCUAGGGUAUCGUUUGGUUUGCGGAUAAGCAAAAAGUGGCUAUUCCAGAGAUAGGUAUAAAUUGAGGUACAAGCGGAGAUUAGAUUAAUUUUGCGUUUGAAUGAAAAUUAGGUUAUUUCUGGAAAUAAAAAAAAUAGCGUUUGGUUAGAUAAGAUAGAAUAAAAAGGAUAGUGGGUUUUAUAAAUAAAAAGUAAUGAUAUUAU
rnacentral:lncRNA from 1 species